UACGUAGGGUGCAAGCGUUGUCCGGAAUUAUUGGGCGUAAAGAGCUCGUAGGCGGUUUGUCGCGUCUGCUGUGAAAACCCGAGGCUCAACCUCGGGCCUGCAGUGGGUACGGGCAGACUAGAGUGCGGUAGGGGAGAUUGGAAUUCCUGGUGUAGCGGUGGAAUGCGCAGAUAUCAGGAGGAACACCAAUGGCGAAGGCAGCACUCUGGGACGUGACUGACGCUGAGACGCGAAAGCGUGGGGAGCAAACAGG
rnacentral:rRNA from 1 species